CGCGUACCAAUUAAAACUAUUCAGAGACUGAUCGCCACGAAGAAGUUGAGAAAUGAUGAACGCGUAGUAGGCGUAUUCAAAUAGUUUACAUCACUGUAAUGGCAGGGUUUCCUGCAAAGCUGAAAAACCUUUGACCCUGAAACCGGAUCCGCAAUGGAAAUCUGAGUUCAGUCCAAAUCACAGCUUAUUGCUAGUGCAGUUUGUUUUCUGUCCAAUCCAAUAGUUUACUAGAACUGUUUUGGAGUUGCGUAUCUUUGUAUUCAAGCAUACAAAAUCGAGCGUACUGUUUGUGUAAUGGACUAACGCAGUUGGCGUUUUGUUAGGGAACUGAGAAUAUAAAAUGAAAAUCAAUCAUCAACAUACCCCCAUAGAACCCAAAGGUCAUUGGGACUUCGAGAGACAUGUGAUAGCUACCAGGUUUUUCCAGUCAAAAGCAAAUUUUUUUUUACUUGAAUGUUAGUGUUGUUUUCAUGAUGUGAAAAUAUUGUCCAUAAGUGAAAAUGAGCAUUAUGCAAAUGAUGACAACUUUAAUCCAUUCCUAUGAUUCCUGUAACUGUUCCUAGUGUUGGAUCUUCAAUAUACGUCACAUGGUUACGUUUA